rnacentral:rRNA from 1 species
UACGGAGGGUGCAAGCGUUAUCCGGAUUCACUGGGUUUAAAGGGUGCGUAGGAGGGCAGGUAAGUCAGUGGUGAAAUCCUGGGGCUUAACCCCAGACUGCCGUUGAUACUAUCGGUCUUGAAUGUCGUGGAGGUGAGCGGGAAUAUGUCAUGUAGCGGAUGAAAUGCUUAGAUGAUGAACAUAGUAACACCAAUUGCGAAGGCAGCUAGCUAACAUCGG